GGUGGACAGUGCGGUGUUGCGCUACUUCGGUUUCGAACCCGACGGGGACAUCGUGGUGGCGUCGUUCACCGGUGCGGGGCCGGUGUUGGCCGCC
rnacentral:tRNA from 1 species